AUGUCCCCAUUUGCUCAUCACCAGGAAAUAUGGAAAAACAAGGAUUUGGAACUUCAAACUUUUAUUGUAGGACAAGGGCUAUCUCUCUUAAUUUUCUCAAGUAUUGCACCUUCGUGCCUAAGUGCAAGGAAAGAAACAAAGGAAGAUGCCAAGAACCAAAGAGAUAGGCUAGGCUACCAGCAAUGAAAUGGAGAUUGUGACACCAAAUUUUCUGAGGACAUGGUCAUCCUGAAUAAAAUUGAGGCUGUGCUGGUGCUGAGAAGGGAAGGACCGGUACUGGGCCCACAACAAGCAGCAGCUGUCUCAGCACAUUAUCAGAAAAUCAGAUUGAAAAAUUAUCACUGAGAACAUUCUUUGUCAGAG
rnacentral:lncRNA from 1 species